rnacentral:rRNA from 1 species
CCUACGGGAGGCAGCAGUGGGGAAUUUUGGACAAUGGACGCAAGUCUGAUCCAGCCAUUCCGCGUGCAGGACGAAGGCCUUCGGGUUGUAAACUGCUUUUGUACGGAACGAAAAAGCUCUUAUUAAUACUAGGAGUCCAUGACGGUACCGUAAGAAUAAGCACCGGCUAACUACGUGCCAGCAGCCGCGGUAAUACGUAGGGUGCAAGCGUUAAUCGGAAUUACUGGGCGUAAAGCGUGCGCAGGCGGUUAUAUAAGACAGAUGUGAAAUCCCCGAGCUUAACUUGGGAACUGCAUUUGUGACUGUAUAGCUAGAGUACGGCAGAGGGGGAUGGAAUUCCGCGUGUAGCAGUGAAAUGCGUAGACAUGCGGAGGAACACCGAUGGCGAAGGCAAUCCCCUGGGCCUGUACUGACGCUCAUGCACGAAAGCGUGGGGAGCAAACAGGAUUAGAUACCCUGGUAGUCCACGCCCUAAACGAUGUCAACUGGUUGUUGGGUCUUCACUGACUCAGUAACGAAGCUAACGCGUGAAGUUGACCGCCUGGGGGAGGUACGGCCGCGAGGUAGAACGUACAAAGAGAGUUAGACGGCGUGAGACGUAGCCGACGGACGACGACGAGGGGAGGAGG